rnacentral:sRNA from 2 species
CAAACAAACAAGCCGAAACUUCCAAAGAAGUGGAAGUGCGGGGGACUUCUUUUUGUAGAGUUAGCCACUCUGCAUUGGGGUGAAUCACGCUUGUGAAGGGUUGUAUCCUCAGCCCGAACCCGACAACUAACCUCGUAGGCGAAGAAAAGGAGACGA